AAGAAAUUAAGUAAGAAAAUAGCUGCUAACUAAUUUUCUAAGCGGUUAAACUCCGUUUAUUUCUUU
rnacentral:tRNA from 1 species